AGCGAACGCUGGCGGCAGGCUUAACACAUGCAAGUCGAGCGGGCAUAGCAAUAUGUCAGCGGCAGACGGGUGAGUAACGCGUGGGAACGUACCUUUUGGUUCGGAACAACUGAGGGAAACUUCAGCUAAUACCGGAUAAGCCCUUACGGGGAAAGAUUUAUCGCCGAAAGAUCGGCCCGCGUCUGAUUAGCUAGUUGGUGAGGUAAUGGCUCACCAAGGCGACGAUCAGUAGCUGGUCUGAGAGGAUGAUCAGCCACAUUGGGACUGAGACACGGUCCAAACUCCUACGGGAGGCAGCAGUGGGGAAUAUUGGACAAUGGGCGCAAGCCUGAUCCAGCCAUGCCGCGUGAGUGAUGAAGGCCCUAGGGUUGUAAAGCUCUUUUGUGCGGGAAGAUAAUGACGGUACCGCAAGAAUAAGCCCCGGCUAACUUCGUG
rnacentral:rRNA from 1 species